rnacentral:rRNA from 1 species
GACGAACGCUGGCGGCGUGCUUAACACAUGCAAGUCGAAGAUAGUGGCGAACGGGUGAGUAAUACGUGGGUAACCUGCCCUUUUCUUUGGGAUAAGCCUGGGAAACUGGGUCUCAUACUGGAUGGAUUGGGAUGGGCUCGCGGCUUAUCGGUUUGUUGGUGGGGUGAUGGCUUACCAAGGCUUUGACGGGUAGCCGGCCUGAGAGGGGGGUCGGUCACAGUGGGACGGGGAUACGGCCCAGGCGCGGACGGGGGGCAGCAGAUGGGGAUAUUGGACAAUGGACGAAAGACUGAUGCAGCGACGUCGUGUGGGGGAUGAAGGCCUUAGGGUUGUAAACUCCUUGAGCCCGCGGAAUGGUAGUGGGUAAAGAAGCGCCGGCUAACUACGUGCCAGCAGCCGCGGUAAUUC